CAGUAAAAUAUAGGGUGUAAAAUAAAAUAAUCCCAAAAAAAUAAUUAAAAUGGCCUUAUUACAACCCAAAACCAAAUAAUAAUAUUAAUAAGAUAAAACUUAUAAAGAAAUAAAUCGGCUACUUAUUGCAAUUAAAAGAAAAAGAAACAGUAGUGUGGCCAUCUCCGAGUCCCUCGCAGCUCCAAACCAUCUAAGCUUAGGGAUUACCUGCACAGUUAGAAACGGGGUGAGUUUACGAAAACUCAGUGUGUAAUCCCAAUAACAUACAAACAGUGAAAACACAGUAUCAGUACAAUCUGGGCCAAAGCCCUAUUUAGUCUUGACAUAUACUGGGCCGAAGCCUUUCGUUUAACGGUUACUAGGCGGAAGCCUUUUCAUAAAUCAUAUCACUGGGCCGAAGCCUUUUCAUAAAUCAUUUCACUGGGCCGAAGCCUUUACUGUAAACAGUAUGGCUCAUAGGCCCAUUUCAAUAUCACAUGUAAUGUCAAUGGAUGUAUGCAAGCCCAUUUCAAUAUCAUAUGAAAUACCAAUGAAUGUAUGCAAGCCCAUUUGGGGAGACUACUCGACCCACCAUCCGCUACUCUCCACCCGUACCAACCAACACACCAUACAGGGAAUGAUUCAACCCACCCAACCAACACACCACUGGCAGCAUAGCUGCUUUAUCAUAUAUCUGGAGGCCUAGCCUCUUUUAAUAACUAGGGCAAAGCCCUUUUCGGUAAACUGGGGCAAAGCCCUUUUCGGUAAACUGGAGCAUAAGCCCUUUUCAAUAAACUGGGGCAUAAGCCCUUUUGCACUUCCUCCAUCCAUAUAAAAACCAAACCCAAUGCAUUUAUGAAUACAUCAUGAGCAUUUCAUACAUAUCAUGUGCAUUUCAUACAUAUCAUGUGCAUUUUAUACAUAUCAUGUGCAUAUCAUAUCAAUCAUGUAUAUCAUAUCCCACGUAUCAAAUUUAUAAUUAAACCCUAGGGAUAUAAUGGUCAUUUUUACCAAGGGGCGAAAUAGUCAUUUUCAUACUAUGAGGAUAAUUUCAUAAUUUUACCAAAUAUCAGGGUUUUUCAUGUUCAUCAACAAUUAUUAAUAUUUUCGAGUGUUUAAACAAUGAUCUUUAACCCACUUUAUCAAACUCGGGCUUUUGGGCCCAAAACCUCUAAUGGGCCCUACGAAUGCCGAUUUUGCCCACUAAGCCUGCUUAAUCCAAAUUUACAACAGUACUAACCAUGUUAUCAUGCAACUUUUCCAAAUUCCAUUUUCUAUCAAUUUUACCCAAAUGGGCCUGAAGCCCAUUGGGCCCGAUUCCAACCCAUUGAGGCCCAACUUACCAUCAUGCACAAAAUUGAGUUCUUACAUGUUCCAUCAAUCCAAACACUGAUCUUAUCGUAUUUAUCGCAUCUAUACCGAAACGCAACAUUACAAGUUCUUAAAAUACCGGUAUUUUAGCAUUUCGGCUUCUCAGCAAAUAUUAAUCUAAGCUAUUACGAGGGUUAGUACACACCUGUUAUGGGUUGAAGUUGAAACGUUUCCAAAAUCAAUCGCCUAUGAUAACCACCACUUGUCACUCAAACUUAACUAAUCCAAUAUUAAUAUAUGUAAAUCCUAAGCACAUUAGUCAUACGGAACAUAAGGGCAUAUUCGUCAUUUUACCAUACAGGGGUAUUACGGUCACUUUACCUUACAGGGGCUUUACGGUCACUUUACCCUACAGGGGCUUUACGGUCUUUUUACCUAAUAGGGGUAUUUUAGUCAUUUCACCCUAAAAUGGUGUUUUGGUAAAUCUACAAACCAAGGGUAUUUCAGUAAUUUUGUAAACCAAUGGUAUUUCUAUAAUUUCUAGAAAGUUAAGGGUAUUUCUGUAAUUUUGUAAAUUAAGGGUAUUUUGGUAAUUUUACAAAUUAAGGGUAUUUUGGUAAUUUCACAAACCAGUGGUAUUUUGGUAAUUUUACAAACUAGGGGUAUUUUGGUAAUUUUACAAACCAGAGGUAUUAUAGCAAUUUUACAGACCAGGGUAUUUUGGUAAUUUUACUAAUCGAGGGUAUUUUGGUAAUUUUGUAAACCAAGGGUACUUUAGUAAUUUUGUAAAUCGAGGGUAAAACAGUAAUUCUAUAAAUCAAGGGUAAAAUGGUAAUUCUAUAAAUCGAGGGUAAAACAGUAAUUAUGUAAAUCGGGGGUACUUUGGUAAUUUUACAAGUCGAGGGUAUUUCAAUAAUUGGUAAACUAAAGUAUUCUAAACAUGGAUAACAAUACUAAUAGCCCUAAAGCCCAUUCUCGGCCCAAAUGGGCCCACACGCUCGUGUGGCCCUUUUAGCCCAAAUCUAGCCACAAAUAUUAGAUUCACCUAGCCUAGCCCAAUAUUUACUACACAAUCAAACAACUUAUCCAAUUGGGCCCGUAGGCCCAUUAGGCCCACAUGACCCCUUUUGGCCCAUUGCGGCCCGAAGUAGCCAUCCUACAGCUAGAGUAGUAAGAAAUACACACCUGAUAGGAGACUGGAGUUAAUCCACGCUUCGAGCACUCUCAGCCGACGCCCAACCCAAACGAGCACGCCAUACAGCGAAAAGGAUCAGCCAAGAAAGGUACC
rnacentral:lncRNA from 1 species